AGGGGUAUAGUUAAUUAUAACAUUUGGGUUGCAUCUAAAAAGUAUUGAAAUAUUCAAUUAUCCUUA
rnacentral:tRNA from 1 species